CCUACGGGAGGCAGCAGUGAGGAAUAUUGGUCAAUGGGCGCAAGCCUGAACCAGCCAUCCCGCGUGCAGGAAGACGGCGCUAUGCGUUGUAAACUGCUUUUCCAGGGAGAGAAACUUGCGCACGUGUUGCGCAAUUGACGGUACCCUGGGAAUAAGCAUCGGCUAACUCCGUGCCAGCAGCCGCGGUAAU
rnacentral:rRNA from 2 species